ncrna:unclassified sequences Glutamine riboswitch
UACGUUCAUCAUCCGUUUGGAUGACGGAAGUAAGCGAAAGCUGAAGGAACGCAUG